rnacentral:rRNA from 1 species
GACGAACGCUGGCGGCGUGCUUAACACAUGCGAGUCGAACGGAAAGGCCUUUUCGGAGGUACUCGAGUGGCGAACGGGUGAGUAACACGUGGGUGAUCUGCCCUGCACUCUGGGAUAAGCCUGGGAAACUGGGUCUAAUACCGGAUAGGACCGCACUUUAGUGUGUGUGGUGGAAAGUUGUUUCGGUGUAGGAUGAGCCCGCGGCCUAUCAGCUUGUUGGUGGGGUAAUGGCCUACCAAGGCGGCGACGGGUAGCCGGACUGAGAGGUUGGUCGGCCACAUUGGGACUGAGAUACGGCCCAGACUCCUACGGGAGGCAGCAGUGGGGAAUAUUGCACAAUGGGCGCAAGCCUGAUGCAGCGACGCCGCGUGGGGGAUGACGGCCUUCGGGUUGUAAACUCCUUUCGCCAGGGACGAAGCGUUUUGUGACGGUACCUGGAGAAGAAGCACCGGCUAACUACGUG